AACGCACAUUGCGCCCGCCAGCAUUCUGGCGGGCAUGCCUGUCCGAGCGUCAUUUCAACCAUCAAGCCCCGGGCUUGUGUUGGGGCCCUGCGGCCGCCCGCAGCCUCCUAAAUGCAUUGGCGGUCCCGCCGUCGCGCCGAGCGUAGUACAUACCCUCGCUCCGGCCGCCGCGGCGGGCGCCUGCCGUAAAACCCCCAAAGCAUCCAAAGGUUGACCUCGGAUCAGGUAGGAAUACCCGCUGAACUUAA
rnacentral:misc_RNA from 1 species